CCUCAACCCCCUUUUGACGUUGCUGGAUCCUCCCAGACAUUUUGAAGUGUUCACAUGUCAUACAGAUACUGGGCAGGAUAUCAUCUUGUCCUCUAACAUCACACUGAUGAUCAGAAACACAAAGUAAAGAGCAAACAUGCUUGAUUGGGUGACCUGUAGUUGCUAGAAUUUGUGGUUUAUUAAAUUAAGUCUCUGGAAUGACAUUACACUGCAGCUGGGGCUCCUGUCCCACUCCCUGCAGCAGUAACAGCCCUUCAACUAUGAAAAGACUCCAGACAUGGAAAAAUGGACCCAGGGACUCUGGCCCAGAGGAAAUCUGUAGCUCAGUUAAUGACUCCAGGAGCAGAAGGAAGGUGGAUUCUUACCGAGUUUCUGACAUCAGGCAGAGUGCUCCAGAGAGGAAAGACAAUGGGAAAGAGGAAAAGAUUCUGAAGAUUUUAUUAAAACCAUCCAAGGAUGUAAAGCUUUGCUUCUCAGGUUUCUCCCCCAGCUCCCCCCUCCCUCCAUAGAGCACAGCAUUCUCCAGGGACCUGAUACUCUUCAGGGCUUCUGAGAAAUGACCAGGAUGUGCUGCCAGACUUUAAUCCCUGAUCGUUUGGGUCUGCCAAAGAGCAUCAGCUGUCUGCAGUGCCCUGAUUUCCCUCCUGCACUGUUCCAUGGCCAUUUCCAGUCCAUCCCUGCAGCUCUCCCUGCCCUGCCUCACUAACAGCUCCUCUGGGGAUGGCUGCUCCUGCCUGCGUGCAUCCAUCGAUUCCUGCUGCAUUACACCAGCCAUCUGUGCCCAGAAACAGCACAAAAUUUGUGUUACACCCCAGGGUUUCCUCGCCUGCCCUUGGGCUUUGCGUGCUGGGAAGACAGGAAGACCUCAGGGAACAAGUCCUACUCCUGCUACUGUCAGAAACAUCUUUCACCAGCUGGGAUUUCCACUGAGCACUGGAAUGGUUGGACUGAGAUGAAACCAUCAUGGAGUACCAGAAUGGUUUGGGUUGGAAGGGAUCUUAAAGGCCAUCCAGUCCUACCCCUCUGCCAUGGGCAUGGACACCUUCCACUAUCCCAGGCUGCUCCAAGCCCCAUCCAUCCUGGCCUUGGACACUUCCAGGGAUCAUGGGGCAGUCACAACUUCUCUAGGCACAGUGUUCCAGAGCUUC